rnacentral:rRNA from 1 species
AUUGAACGCUGGCGGCAGGCCUAACACAUGCAAGUCGAACGAGUGGCGGACGGGUGAGUAAUGUAUGGGAACCUGCCUGGUGGAGGGGGAUAACUCCUGGAAACGGUAGCUAAUACCGCAUACCAUCGGAUGUGCCCAGAUGGGAUUAGCUAGUAGGUGGGGUAAAGGCUCACCUAGGCGACGAUCCCUAGCUGGUCUGAGAGGAUGACCAGCCACACUGGGACUGAGACACGGCCCAGACUCCUACGGGAGGCAGCAGUGGGGAAUAUUGCACAAUGGGCGAAAGCCUGAUGCAGCCAUGCCGCGUGUAUGAAGAAGGCCUUCGGGUUGUAAAGUACUUUCGGCGGGGAAGCGGUACCCGCAGAAGAAGCACCGGCUAACUACGUGCCAGCAGCCGCGGUAAUAC